AUUGAACGCUGGCGGCAGGCCUAACACAUGCAAGUCGAGCGGUUGAGGUAGCUUGCUACCGAUGCAGCGGCGAACGGGUGUGUAAUACAUGGGAAUCUGCCUGGUAGUGGGGGACAACGUCUCGAAAGGGACGCUAAUACCGCAUACGCCCUACGGGGAAAGGGGGGAUCUUCGGACCUCUCGCUAUCAGAUGAGCCCAUGUCAGAUUAGCUAGUUGGUGGGGUAAAGGCUCACCAAGGCGACGAUCUGUAACUGGUCUGAGAGGAUGAUCAGUCACACUGGAACUGAGACACGGUCCAGACUCCUACGGGAGGCAGCAGUGGGGAAUAUUGGACAAUGGGCGCAAGCCUGAUCCAGCCAUGCCGCGUGUGUGAAGAAGGCCUUAGGGUUGUAAGCACUUCAGUGGGAGAAAGGUUAUUACACCUAAUACGUGAGUAAUU
rnacentral:rRNA from 1 species